rnacentral:rRNA from 1 species
GACGAACGCUGGCGGCGUGCUUAACACAUGCAAGUCGAACGGAAAGGCCCUGCUUUUGUGGGGUGCUCGAGUGGCGAACGGGUGAGUAACACGUGAGUAACCUGCCCUUGACUUUGGGAUAACUUCAGGAAACUUGGGCUAAUACCGGAUAGGAGCUCCUGCUGCAUGGUGGGGGUUGGAUAGUUUCGGCGGUUGGGGAUGGACUCGCGGCUUAUCAGCUUGUUGGUGGGGUAGUGGCUUACCAAGGCUUUGACGGGUAGCCGGCCUGAGAGGGUGACCGGACACAUUGGGACUGAGAUACGGCCCAGACUCCUACGGGAGGCAGCAGUGGGGAAUAUUGCACAAUGGGCGGAAGCCUGAUGCAGCAACGCCGCGUGCGGGAUGACGGCCUUCGGGUUGUAAACCGAUUUCGCCUGUGACGAAGCGUGAGUGACGGUAAUGGGUAAAGAAGCACCGGCUAACUACGUG